rnacentral:misc_RNA from 1 species
ACUGGAGUAGUAUUUAUUUGCAUGAGUAAAGUUAUUAUAGUGUUUAGUUAUGAAUCCAAGAGAAUGUCCGAUUAUUAAGUUUAAAGAUCAACUAGAAGAUGUGUAUGGUGAAGUGGCCAAAGAAUUUAAUUCUGAAAAGAAUAUAGUUGAAAUAUGCAAAGAAUUAGAGAAGUUAUCAAAUAGAAAUACUGCUACUAUUCUUUUAAAUCAGAUAUGUGAUUAUCUUACAAAUUACGUGGAAUGUGAACUUUUUUCUUCAAUGGACAAAAGUAGUUUAUGGAAAGACACAGCUUUUAGAAUAUAUACAAACAAUAAAAAUUUGAGAAAUUUCCAUAGCCAAGAUUAUAGUCACAUGUUAGUAUUAUCACACAUGCAAUAUAUUUCUAUUUUUGAUACAGAAGAAGAAAUUUCCUGUCCUUUUGAUCUAAUAAUUAAAUUAGAUUUGAGAAAGGUGAAAGGUCAGGAUGAUUAUUUAACACUAAUAAGAAGAGAAGUUGACAGUAAAGCUUCUUGGUUUUCAAAUGAACUGUUUGAAUGGAUGUUAGAAUAUUAUAAAUUACAAGAAAGAAAAAUUCAUUUCUUCUUUGAUCAUUUAGAUGAUAUUUCACCUGAAAAUGAAUAUUUUUCAAAUGUUAUUCAAGGUAAAAAAAAAUUCAAAUACUCUUUUGAUGCUUGGUCAAAAAAUCAAAUAAGGUUGAAUAGCGAAGAGGUUUUCGAAUUGAAAAAUGCUGAUUUAGAAAUAUUUUGUGCUAUUCCAUUUCCGAUUUUUUCUCCUUCAGAGAACAGUAUGAGUGAAACUGUAUAUAAUUUGGUACAAAAAAAUUGUUUGAUGGAGGAGAAAAGACAGCAAUUACAGACUUUAUUGUCCGAGGAUAAUGAAUUUUUUCCUAUCAUACACAUGUAUCAUGUAGAAGAAUAUUAUGAAUCAGAAUUAAGAGAGAAUAUUUCUCAUAUCUACAAAUUCUAUUUUGGAAAAUGGCUGAUGUAUUUUGAGUACUUUAAAAAGAGUAACCAUUCUAACUAUUACAGAUGUCAAUUUGGUAGUCAAUUUCCUGGCCUGAAGGAAUUAGAUACAGUAAUAUUUUUGAAACUAAAUUUUAAUAAAAUUGAGAAGAAUGAAACCUAUUUAAAAACUUUAGAGAAACAAAUUUUCAAUGAAUACACAGAAGAGAUGAUUUCUAAAUUUUUUACAUUUUGCAAAGAAAAUAACUAUACAAUAACUUUUCUGAUUACAAAAUAUGAUCCUAAUGGAACAGUUCCAAGUGCAUUCCGUGAAAUAUUGAAUGGAGAAACUGAAAAUUUUCCUCAUUCAAUUUUAAUCAAUAAUAAUUCCGAAGAAAUGGAUGGAUUUCGUCUGUUAGGCCCACAUACACUUCAUAAAUGGAAGCUGCCAAGAAAAAAGCAAACCAGUAAUAUUGAAUCUGCAUUACUAGGAGAAAAGAUAGAAUUUAAGUUUGUCCAAUUUUUUAUUAAAUGGUCUGUGAAAUUUCAAGAUAUUCUGAAGAAGGAGAAACUGCAAAGUGAAAGCAAAUAUUGGACAAAGUAUUCUCCAAAUUUUACUAAUCUACAUAUAGUUUAUGAUGAACAUCUGGGUAUAAGAUGCAAGUUAUUGGAAGAAAUUGGACCUGUUUAUACUGAAGAGGUUUUGGAACAAAUUUCCGAAAUUUUUCUAAAUCGUAAUCAAACCAUUGUGAAAGAUUCAAUUCAACAUGUUUGCAAUGAAAUUUUACAAAACAUUUCAAAUUUUCUUUUGAAUAAAAAGUUAAUUAGGAAACAUGAAAACAUAGAUUUUGACAAAGCUUACAAACCAUUAAAGAUUACAGAUACGCACAAUAAAGAAGUAUCUCUAUCUUUUGUAAAUUUGAAAAAAAGUUUCAAAAUGUUGAUAAAAGGAGAGGGAGGAAGUGGAAAAUCAUUUCUAUGUUUACAGAUAAUGAAAAAACCUGAACAUUUUCAAAUUGAGAAUAUAGAUUUGAUUAUCAGAAUUGACUUGAGUAAAGUUAAGGAAAAUGAAUCAUACUACACUUCUCUAUAUAAUCAAUGGAAAAAUGAUCUCUGGCAGUCUAUCUACUGUGUCCAAUGGUUCCUGCAGUAUUUUGGAAAGAAAGGCAAAAGGAUUUUAUUUCUUUUGGAUGAAUUUGAUAAAAUGAAUAAUGAACAGAAUGACUUCUAUAAAAUAAUUACUGGCCAACCUAUUCAUUUUCCACAUUCAGUUGUAAUAUUCUCAAGAAAUUUUUCAGCUGAAAAUGUAAAAUCAGACUAUGAAAGAGAAGUGAUUGGCUUUUCAUCAACAUACGAAUAUUUUCAACAGUUACGUGAAAAAAAUCAAUAUCUUAAUUCAAUGACAAGUACUACAAAUAUACUAAAAGUUUGUAGCAAUCCACUGGCAGCUUUUAUAACAACAUUUUUAUUGAAGAGGAGCCACAUGAAGAAAAAAAACUGUUCAAAAACAAUUGCAAAAGCUACAUUGGACUAUUUAGUUUUUAAGACACCUGAUUAUAUCCCACUUUAUGAGAGUGACUCUAAGACUUUGAUAAAUCGUGUUCCACAUUUCAAAUUCCCUAAAACACAGUUGGAUUCUUAUAAAUAUUUUCUAUCAAAUGAGAAUGUACUAAUAAUACCUUUCACUGGAAAAGACAGAAAUUUUAAAGAUAAUUUUCAAUUUAAAAUGGAGUGUGGAAAGACCAUCUAUGACACCAGAGGAAAGAUUAUCAAAGUUAUAAUACUGAACAUAAAAACUUAUGAAACUAAGAAGAAUAGGCGACAAGAAAGCAAGAUUGAUGUUAAAAAUUUACAAAAAUUGUUUAGAGAACUGACAAAAUCAUCUCGUAAAAAACUUGUUUAACAUUGAAUCUAUAAAUAAAUUCAACAUAACAAUUCAUAAUCAAAUUGUUAAACAAGCUUUUGAGACGAAAUAUUCCACUGAACAUUGGGAUGACCUUGACAUUGAUACGUUUCAAGCACUUUUGAAAAAACUAAAAAAAAAAUUGAAAAAGUUUGGAGGAUUAAUAUUCUUUACAAUGGCACAUGGAGAUGAAAAUGGGUUUUAUUUAAAACCUAAUCAAAAGAAAAGGAGAGAAUCAAAUGAUUUUUUUGCCUAUGCUGAUUUAAUUAAUAAGUUUAGUUCUUCCAACUGUACAGAGCUGGACUUAAAACCGAAAAUAUUUUUUUUCAAUACUUGUCUAGGAGGUAAUGAGUAUGGUACCAGUUUCUAUUUAAAUACUGUUCAAAAACGUUUUUGCAGGUUAUGUUUUCCAUAAAAAAGAAACAAAAGAAUGUGAAGCUGUUUUCAAAGAGUUUGAACAUGAAAAUGAAUUGAGAACUAAUAGACAGUCUGGGAAAAUAUGCAAAAAAAGAUACAUUUCUGAACACGCAAUUCCUGGCGGAGAUACCUUACAAAUCUAUUCAACAAUUCAAGGAUAUGCAGGUCUAUCUGGUGAAAGGUCUGGAAGCAGAUUUAUCAGAGCCUUUAUAUGUGCAAUGGAAAAAAGAGCCCACACAUCAUCACUGUUUACAAUCAUUGAUCAUGUAUUCUAUAUAAUGAGUCAUUGUCACUAUGCGUCGCUAAGUCAGAUUCCCUCAUUCUCUGGGUCUGCUAAAGGAUUUUAUUUUAUGUGAAAUUUGAUUGAAAGAAGUAAAAAUGCCAUAUUUAGUCUAGCUAAUCAAGAAAAAAAGAAACAAUGUACAAUUUUCAGACAGGAGGUUGACAAACCAUCAUUCAAAAGUAAGAGUUGAUUGAAACUCAGCUUCAUCUGUGAUCUUAGAUUUUCCAUACUCAAACUAUGUAAAAUGCUACAAUUAUACUUUUAAAUUUGCUGAACAAUGGAUUAAUAUUAUAAUUUCAAUAAUGUAUGAUACUACCACAAGCCAGCAUGUUGAUUUUUAAACUAUUCAAGUUUAUUUAUCAGAUACGACUGAUGUUUUGAGUUUGUUAUAAAGAUUAAAUUCCUUUCCCUAUUUUCACAAAUGUCUCUCUGCAGAGUUCAUCAGGUAGAAAGUUAUUAAUAAUUUUUUUCCAACUAUUCAAUUUCAUUUAUGAAAUAUAUUGACUUAGUUGAAAAAUUGAAGAUAGUACUUUAAAUCGAAUAUUGUACUUCAAUAAUCCACAAGAAAGCAUAGUUAUAUUUAUCUCUAUUAAAUCUUGCAAAAAGCACUUGGUUCAAAUUAAUUAAAGAAAUAUAACUCUAUCUAAUCAAGAGAACAGUUUAUACAUUUAUGGCCAAACAAUUCAUUCAAAACUUCAAUAAUAGAAUUAUUACAUAUUCACACUCAACCCCUUGACAGAUAGAUCUAUUGGUUCUAUUCAGAAAAAAGUUUCAGCAAAUUUCCAAUUUGCGUAUUUUGAGGUUUAAUUAAAUUACACCUUUUUAAAUUAAGAUUCUUAAAAGUAUUUGAUGACAUUCGAAGUCCUUCACAAAUAUUUAUUAUUCCUUUACCCAUCUGUCUAUUCCACAAAAGAUACAUUGUUUCUAUUUUGCAACAAUGUUUUAACAAAUUUCCAACCUGUAUACUUUGAUCUUCAUUUAAAAUACAUCCAUUUAAAUGAAGACUCUUUAAAGUAUUUGAUGACAUUUGAAGUCCUUCACAAAUAUU